rfam:Ovis aries breed Texel chromosome 13, whole genome shotgun sequence.
UCCCUGAUAGCUCAGUUGGUAAAGAAUCUGCCUGCGAUGCAGGAGACCCUGGUUUGAUUCCUAGUUCAGGAA